CCGCUAUUUUCCUACUGAAUGUUUCUCUAAUACCAGAGUGCAUGCGUCGGGUUGACGGUAGGAUUGGAGGUUUGGGCGGGUAACGAAUCUUCACCAGUAUUAGCCACUAUUAUGGUACGAUCCAGGGUUUAUUGGCACAAAUUUCAGACAAUUACAAUCGGGCUGAAGGACGGUGAUUGCUUAACUACGGCUACGGUAGAAUCCAAAUUACAAUAUUAGGGGUUUUUCCCCCGGUUUCAACGGGAAGGCUCCGGUGUCUCUCCAUCUCCGACAUAUAUAUUUUGCAUAUUUAAAUAUAAUUAAUAAAUACAUUUAUGCAUCAAUUGAACGAAACUUAUUUUAUCAUUAAUUAUGGAGUACGUUCCUAUUGAAUGUUAUCCUUCUUUUAAAUAGAUACAUAAACGUACUAAUCGUUUUGUAGCUAUAAAUUUAAUCAUAAUACAUAAUUUCAAACAAUUUUGAG
rnacentral:misc_RNA from 1 species